AUACGUAGGGGGCGAGCGUUGUCCGGAAUGAUUGGGCGUAAAGGGCGCGUAGGCGGCCCGGUAAGUCUGGAGUGAAAGUCCUGUUUUUAAGAUGGGAAUUGCUUUGGAUACUGUCGGGCUUGAGUGCAGGAGAGGUAGGUGGAAUUCCCAGUGUAGCGGUGAAAUGCGUAGAGAUUGGGAGGAACACCAGUGGCGAAGGCGACUUACUGGACUGUAACUGACGCUGAGGCGCGAAAGUGUGGGGAGCAAACAGGAUUAGAUACCCUGGUAGUCCACACUGUAAACGAUGAAUGCUAGGUGUAAGAGGUAUCGACCCCUUUUGUGCCGGAGUCAACACAAUAAGCAUUCCGCCUGGGGAGUACGGCCGCAAGGUUGAAACUCAAAUGAAUUGACGGGG
rnacentral:rRNA from 1 species